UUUUUUUUUGUAUGAGUGUUUUCCCUGCAUGUAUAUCUGCAUACCACAUGCAUGUUUCAUGCUCACAUAGGCCAGUAGAGGGCAUCAGAUCUCCUGGAACUGGGUGCUCAGAAUUGCCCCUAAAUCCUCUGGAAGAACAGCAAGUGCCCUUAACCACUGAGCCACCCCUCCAAUCCAUGUAUAUGUUACUGCUGUGACGAAUAUCCUGCUCAAAGUACUUUAAGGGAUUAAGGGACAAAGGGUUUAUAAGGCUCAUAAUUCCAAGUUACAGACUAUAGGGGAGUCAAGGGUCAGGAACGUGACACACAUCACAGUUGAACAAACGUACACAUGCCUACCAGUGUUCAGCUGUUUCUCCGUUACAGAUCUGCCUGCCCAAGAAAUGGUGCCACCCACAGUGGGUGGGUCUUCUUACCUCAACAUAAUCAAUCAAGCUAAUCCCACACAGACAUGCCCACAAGGGGUCAGCCCGAUCCAGACAGUCCCUCUGAGACUCUCUGCCCAGGUGAUUCAAAAUUGUCAAAUUGACAAUUAACUAUCACCACUGGAAACUGAAUUUAUGGUUUGCUAGGUAAAUACUAUAAGGUCAUGAUCUUAACCAAAGACUGUUUCUUUAGCUUCCUUCCCUCAGUAGAACUUGAAGUCUUGUAACACCCUCUGGCUCAUCUUUUUUGCCUCUAAAGGACCAGAGUUCAAUUCCCAACAUGGUCUGGGGAUGAUUUUUUUUCACCUCUUCCUGCUACAACACACGGAAGGAUCAUGCUUUUCCAUUUAUUACAGUCCUGAGCAGUUUACUCAUUCAUUUAAUAUUCAGGCACUCUUCUGAGGGUGUGGACUUGUCCCACAGAAGCAGUCUCCAUAGUUCCUAACUCCUGGGUCCCUGUAUCCCCAUCGCACCAAACCCUUCAAAGUUAGGGUUCAGUAUUUUCAAUUUUUGUUACGUAUGCACAUGAGAAAAUUAGGCGCUGCGCUGCAAUCCUUCUAAGGUGCCUUCUGUUAUUGGUUAUGAGGAAGCCUCUUCCUGGAUCGUCUUUCCUAACUUCUACAUGUAACUAUGUCUAACUAACCAUCUCCACCGUCAUCUUCCAUGAUAAGCAGGAUCUUCCUGAGCUCCACCCAAGCCUCUCUUCUGACUCUGGCUCUCUGUCACUCUUGUCCUGUUUGCAAGGCCCUCCAGCAGCAAAGUCCCAAGUUCGUAUCUUUGUGUUUUUAGUAAUCUGCCUAAGCUAUAGCAAAGACUCAAUAGGAAUUGAUAGAUUGUUUUUUUUAAGUCUAGACUAGAGUUUAUUCAGGGCAUGGGGAGGGGAGUUGAGAGAGUAAAGAUAAAGAAAGUCAGGGAGAGAAUAGAGGAGUUGAGGCUGGCCAUGAGAGCAUGGUGAGAGAUGGGAGAGGGAAAUGAGGAGGGAGGAGGAAGAGCAAACAGAGCAGAAACAAGAGCAAAAUCUUUUUUUUUUUUUUUUUUUUUUUUUUACUAAUUUUACCUGUAUUAUCUGAGACAGUCUUUCUCUGCAUAGCCCUGGCUGCCUGGAACUUAGACCAGCCUGACCUACCACUCAAGAGAUCUGCUGGAGGGCUGGAGAGAUGCCUCAGCAGUUAAGAGCACUGGCUGCUCUUCCAGAGGUCCUGAGUUCAAUUCCCAGCAACCACAUGGUGGCUCACAACCAUCUGUAAUGGGGUUCCAUGCCCCUCUUCUGCUGUGUCUGAAGACAGCUACAAUGUAUCCUAUACCUGAAAUAAAUAAAUAAUUCUUUAAAAAAAAAAAAAAAAAAAAGAGAUCUUCUGGACUCUCCUGGAUGCUGGUAUUAAGGUGUGUAUGACUACAUCUCUGUAACAGGCAGUUUUCACAGUGAGAAACCGGGAGCUAAGUAUGGCAGUACAUACUUGUAAUCCCAGCACCCAGGAAGCAGGGCAGGAAGACAACCAAAAUAUCUGAAGCUGUGCCUCUCAAAGCAACAGUCCUCAUUAUCCCCAACUCCCACUGCAAUACAGGAUUUCUAUGUAGUCCUGGCUGUCCUGGAACUCUCUCUAUAGACCAGGCUAUCCUCAAACUCACAGAGAUCCAGCUUUUAAAAGCCCCAUUUGUUUGAGCAGUCUUUAAAUGCUGGGAUUAAAGGCCUGCACCACCACCAUCCAAGGUUUUUCUGUUUUUUGUUUUUUUUUUUUUUUUAAUAGUUUUAGCAAAGCUGGGAAUGAAAGUCAGGGCCUUGUUUACCAAUUACAAAACAGAAGAGCCAAGUCAGAAGGAGUAGUUGAGGAAGAUCCUGCUGAGCAUAGAUGGAGUUAGACAUAGUCACCUGGAUAGUUUAGGAGGCUUCAUCCUGGAAGAGGCUGAAGUUCAGAAACCCUUCUCUGGCAGCCAUC
rnacentral:lncRNA from 1 species